rnacentral:rRNA from 1 species
UACGUAGGGGGCAAGCGUUGUCCGGAUUUAUUGGGCGUAAAGAGCGUGUAGGCGGCCAGGUAGGUGGGUUGUGAAAACUGGAGGCUCAACCUUCAGACGUCGACCCAAACCCCCUGGCUAGCAGUCCGGAAGAGGAGAGUGGAAUUCCUGGUGUAGCGGUGAAAUGCGCAGAUAUCAGGAAGAACACCCGUGGCGAAGGCGGCUCUCUGGGACGGUACUGACGCUGAGACGCGAAAGCGUGGGGAGCGAACAGG